AGAGUUUGAUUAUGGCUCAGGAUGAACGCUAGCUACAGGCUUAACACAUGCAAGUCGAGGGGCAGCAUGGUCUUAGCUUGCUAAGGCCGAUGGCGACCGGCGCACGGGUGAGUAACACGUAUCCAACCUGCCGUCUACUCUUGGACAGCCUUCUGAAAGGAAGAUUAAUACAAGAUGGCAUCAUGAGUCCGCAUGUUCACAUGAUUAAAGGUAUUCCGGUAGACGAUGGGGAUGCGUUCCAUUAGAUAGUAGGCGGGGUAACGGCCCACCUAGUCUUCGAUGGAUAGGGGUUCUGAGAGGAAGGUCCCCCACAUUGGAACUGAGACACGGUCCAA
rnacentral:rRNA from 1 species